AAAAAAACUACCAAAGAAGGAGCAGCUUGAGGGAAUAUUAAUGGAUUAUGAGAAGAAAAUGAAACUGAACUAUUUUGCGUUAUCCUACAAGAUGAAUGAUUAUAGAGUACAAUAGACUGACUAGCCAGUAGUUGAAAGCCAGAUCAUAAGAUAUUUGAAGAGACACAGUAACCUCUUAAAAUGAGGCCAAUUUUCUUAGAUCAGGCUUUUCGCUUGAGUGCUGUACACGUGUGUCCUUCAGGUACUGAUGAAGCCUCUACAGAGCUCUCUUCUCAGCCUUGCUCUGCCAUUUCUGCUGCUACUGCAGCAGUGACACUGGAAUCCCUGAAGCAUCAAAUCUUGAAUUGGA
rnacentral:lncRNA from 1 species